GACGAACGCUGGCGGCGUGCUUAACACAUGCAAGUCGAACGGAAAGGCCCUGCUUUUGUGGGGUGCUCGAGUGGCGAACGGGUGAGUAACACGUGAGUAACCUGCCCUUGACUUUGGGAUAACUUCAGGAAACUGGGGCUAAUACCGGAUAGGAUCUCCUGCUGCAUGGUGGGGGUUGGAAAGUUUCGGCGGUUGGGGAUGGACUCGCGGCUUAUCAGCUUGUUGGUGGGGUAGUUGCUUACCAAGGCUUUGACGGGUAGCCGGCCUGAGAGGGUGACCGGCGACAUUGGGACUGAGAUACGGCCCAGACGCCUACGGGAGGCAGCAGUGGGGAAUAUUGCACAAUGGGCGGAAGCCUGAUGCAGCAACGCCGCGUGCGGGAUGACGGCCUUCGGGUUGUAAACCGAUUUCGACUGUGACGAAGAGUGAGUGACGGUAAUGGGUAAAGAAGCACCGGCUAACUACGUG
rnacentral:rRNA from 1 species